rnacentral:rRNA from 1 species
CCUACGGGAGGCAGCAGUGGGGAAUAUUGGGCAAUGGGCGCAAGCCUGACCCAGCCACGCCGCGUGAAGGAAGACGGCUUUCGGGUUGUAAACUUCUUUUGACAGGGAAGAGUAGAAGACGGUACCUGUCGAAUAAGCCACGGCUAACUACGUGCCAGCAGCCGCGGUCAUACGUAGGUGGCAAGCGAUGGCUGGAUUUACUGGGUGUAAAGGGCGUGUAGGCGGGUUGACAAGUUAGAUGUGAAAUCCUGCGGCUUAACCGCAGAACUGCAUUUGAAACUGUAGCUCUUGAGUACUGGAGAGGCAGACGGAAUUCGUGGUGUAGCGGUGAAAUGCGUAGAUAUUAGGAGGAACACCAGUGGCGAAGGCGGUCUGCUGGACAGCAACUGACGGUGAGGCACGAAAGCGUGGGGAGCAAACAGGAUUAGAUACCCUUGUAGUC